ensembl:lncRNA
ACCUUCCGGCUCUGAUUGGCUAUCCGCGAUGCCACUCCUCGCCAACACCACUUCCCACUGGCCAGAGGGGAGGCGGGACCGCCGCGCUGGGGCGUUCCAUUGGAUGUUUCUUUCCCGCCCGCAAGGCUGGGGGCGGGCUUUUCGGCCCGCUCCGCGCGCUGAUUGGUUGAGCCGCUGCGGGCGGGAAGAGGGGCUGUGGGGGCGCGUUCCCGGCGUGCACCGCGCGGCUGUGAGGGGAGAGGCCCAGCAGGUGCCACCAAUGGCUGAGGGUCCCCCGGAGCCACCGGGUACUGGUCUGCAGGGCCUCAUCCCCCCAUCACACUUCACGCUCCGUCCCCCUGCCCCCAGCACCAGCAGGAUGCUGGAGGUGGAGAGGAGGCGGAGCCAAGCUCUGGGCGCGGAGCUUGAGGCAGAGAGGAGGCGGAGCCACAUGCUGGGGGCAGAGCUUGAGGCAGAGAAGAGGCGGAGCCACAGCCUGGAGGUGGAGCUUGAGGUGGAGAGGAGGCGGAGCCUACGGUUGGGGGAGGAGCUUGAAGCUGAAAGGAGGCGGGGCCAAGCCAAGGGGGCGGGGCCUGAUGGAGAGAAGCCCUCAGAGGAGACCCCAUUGCUGCUCCGUGCGCAGCUCAGCGCUCUCAGCCACAUCCUGACCCUGCAGGAGCGCGAGCUGAACCGGGAGCUGCCCCCCCCCCGGCUGCAGGCGCUGCUGGGGCGAUGGCGGCAGAAGGUCUUCGCCCUCCUGGUGCAGCUGCGGGUGCAGGAUGAGAGCCAGCAGGUGCAGCGCCUGGCACAGGAGGUGACACGGGAGCGGGGCCGGGCGGAGGCGGCUGAACAGGCACUGAGGGGGCUGUCCCAUGCGGCCACCAGGUUGGCUGUGGUGGUGACACGCUGUGAGGAUGAGGUGAUGGCGGCCAUCGGGGCCAUGGCUGCACUCAGCGACCGCCUGCACCGCGCCGGGCAGCGGCUGAGGGUCCUGCAGGGGCUGGUGGCCCCGGAUCGGCCGCGGUGGCAGCGGGAGGCAGCGGGUGAGACGGCCGCGGUGACACGAGGAACCCAUCGGCUCACAGGGAUGGGGGCUGAGCUGCAGCAUGGCGUGUCCCCACCGUGUCCAGUUGUUGUCACCUCCACCGCAGGGGUGGCCCCGGAGCGGGUGACGGAGGAUGGGGUGACACAGGAUGGGAUAGACAAUGAGGUCACUUCCCACGGGGACAGCGCAGGCCCUGCCCACAGCAGAGUGGCGCUGUGCUCCCUGGUGGCUGAGCUGCAGGCGAUGGGCGCUGCCAUCCUUGGGGACCCCCCCUGACCCCCCCGGCGCGGUGUCCCGCCCCAACCCCCCCACAUCCCUCUAUGCCCUCCAUGUCCCCCCUUACCCCAUCUCCCCCACAUCCCUCCACUCCCUCCAUAUCCUCCUAUCCCCCCCAAGUCUAUCUUCCCCUAUUCUCCUAUCCCCACAUACCCCUACACCCCCAUCCCC